rnacentral:rRNA from 1 species
AUUGAACGCUGGCGGCAUGCCUUACACAUGCAAGUCGAACGGCAGCACGGGAGCAAUCCUGGUGGCGAGUGGCGAACGGGUGAGUAAUAUAUCGGAACGUGCCCGGUCGUGGGGGAUAACGCAGCGAAAGCUGUGCUAAUACCGCGUACGAUCUCUGGAUGAAAGCGGGGGACUUGAAAGAGCCUCGCGCGAUUGGAGCGGCUGAUAUCAGAUUAGCUAGUUGGUGGGGCAAAGGCCCACCAAGGCGACGAUCUGUAGCUGGUCUGAGAGGACGACCAGCCACACUAGAACUGAGACACGGUCCAGACUCCUACGGGAGGCAGCAGUGGGGAAUUUUGGACAAUGGGCGCAAGCCUGAUCCAGCAAUGCCGCGUGCAGGAUGAAGGCCUUCGGGUUGUAAACUGCUUUUGCACGGAGCGAAAAAGUUCUUGGCUAAUACCCAGGAUGGAUGACGGUACCGUAAGAAGAAGCACCGGCUAACUACGUGCCAGCAGCCGCGGUAAGAC